UACGGAGGGUGCGAGCGUUGUCCGGAAUCACUGGGCGUAAAGGGCGCGUAGGCGGCCUGAUAAGUAGGGGGUGAAAUCCUGCGGCUUAACCGCAGGGCUGCCUUCUAAACUGUCAGGCUUGAGCACAGUAGAGGCAGGUGGAAUUCCCGGUGUAGCGGUGGAAUGCGUAGAUAUCGGGAGGAACACCAAUGGCGAAGGCAGCUCGCUGGGACGUUACUGACGCUGAGACGCGAAAGCGUGGGGAGCAAACAGG
rnacentral:rRNA from 1 species